rnacentral:lncRNA from 1 species
UUGGUCCAGUUGAAAAAGGUAAAAAAUUAGCAUUUCGGAAGCUGUCAAAAGAUUUCAAGACCCCCUUCACAUAAAAAUGUCCAUAUUUUGAGUUAGAGCUGAUGAAGUUUUCUAUAAUUUUGAUAUAAUUUGUCCCAAAAGUAGUACAACACACUGUAAAAAUAUUAUGGAGAAAGCGCAGGUGGGAUUUUUUUUAUUUCCAUUAUUGUCUAAAAGAAAUGCACUACGAAAUAACUGUGUACUCGGACCAAAUAACCUCA